UACGAAGGGGGCUAGCGUUGUCCGGAAUCAUUGGGCGUAAAGAGCGUGUAGGCGGCCAACUAAGUCCUGCGUGAAAUCUCGGGGCUCAACCCCGAGCGGUCGUGGGAAACUGGUUGGCUAGAGUGCGGGAGAGGAGAGUGGAAUUCCUGGUGUAGCGGUGAAAUGCGCAGAUAUCAGGAAGAACACCCGUGGCGAAGGCGGCUCUCUGGAACGCAACUGACGCUGAGACGCGAAAGCGUGGGGAGCAAACAGG
rnacentral:rRNA from 1 species